UACGGAGGAUCCGAGCGUUAUCCGGAGUGACUGGGCGUAAAGAGUUGCGUAGGGGGUUUGUUAAGCAAAUAGUGAAAUCUUGUGGCUCAACCAUGAGGCUAUUAUUUGAACUGGCAAACUUGAGAACAUAAGGGGUAGAUGGAAUUCCCAGUGUAGGAGUGAAAUCCGUAGAUAUUGGGAGGAACACCGAUGGCGUAGGCAGUCUACUGGUAUGUUUCUGACCCUGAGGCACGAAAGCGUGGGGAGCGAACCGG
rnacentral:rRNA from 1 species